CACCACGUCUGUCUCUAGCGUGAGGUCUCUGUGUGCGCACGCGCAGCCCUCCGUUCCCUCGGCCGGCCGUCUGCUUCCCAGCUGUCCUGCUGAACAAAACCGCGGUUAUUGGCUGAGAAAUGGAUUUUUACUCGACCGACACUUUGGAGCAUCUGAAUGAAUGAAGAAUCGUGAGACCAAGUGAAAAUAGACUGGGGUGUGGCUUGGCAGACAAAUCUAAGCUGGGAAACGUGAAAAUAAAUGAUUUAGUGACCUGGUUGGUCAGUGUUCCUUUGAGUCCUAAAUAAAAUGAAUGCCAACGAAUGGAACCUCA